AGAAAGGCUUGUAGUGGAUACCUAGGCACCCAGAGAUGAGGAAGGGCAUAGUAAUCGACGAAAUUCUUUAGGGAGUAGAAAAUAAGCAUAGAUCCAGAGAUUUCCGAAUAGGAAAGCAUUUUGAACUGCUGCUGAAUCCAUAGGAAGGCAAGAGACAACCUGGCCAACUGAAAUAUCUUAGUAGCCAGAGAAAAAGAAAGCAAAAGCGAUUCUAGUAGUAGCGGCGAGCGAAAUGGGAGCAGCCUAAACCAUGAAAAUAGGGUUGUGGGAGAGCGAUACAAGCAUCGUGCAGCUAGGCAAAGAACCUGAAUGUUGAACCCGAGAUGGAGAAAGUCCAGUAGCCAAAAGCAUCGCUAGAUUAUGCUCUAGACCGAGUAGCAUAGGGCAUGUGGAAUCUCGUAUGAAUCAGCAAGGACCACCUUGCAAGGCUAAAUACUCCUAAGGACCGAUAGCGAAGUAGUACCAUGAGGGAAGGGUGAAAAGAACCCCCAUUGGGGAGUGAAAUAGAACAUGAAACCAUAAGCUCCCAAGCAGUGGGAGGAGCCAGGGCUCUGACCGCGUGCCUAUUGAAGAAUGAGCCGAUGACUUAUAGGUAGCAGCUCGGUUAAGGGAACCUACCAGAGCCGUAGUGAAAAUGAGUCUUCAUAGGAUAAUUGUCACUGCUUAUGGACCUGAACCUGGGUGAUCUAUCCAUGACCAAGAUAAAGUUUGGGUGAAACUAAGUGGAGGUCUGAACCGACUGAUGUGGAAGAAUCAUCGGAUGAGUUGUGGUUAGGGUUGAAAUGCCACUCGAACCCAGAGCUAAUUGGUUCUCCCCAAAAUUUAUUGAGGCGAAGCAAUUGACUAGACAUCUAGGGCUAAAGCACUAUUUUGGUGCGGGAUGCGAGAACAGUACCAAAUCGAGGCAAACUUUGACUACUAGGUAUGGCCUUAAAAAAGAGGAGUCAAAGUCGGUUAAUGAGACGAUGGGGGAUAAGAUUCAUCGUCGAGAGGGAAAAAGACCAUAUCACCAGCUAAGGCCCCUAAAUGAACGCUCAGUAAUAAAGGAGGUAGGGGUGUGGAGACAACCAGAAGGUUUGCCUAGAAGUAGCCACCCUUGAAAUAGUGCAUAAUAGCUCACUGAUCGAGCGCUCUUGCAGCAAAGAUGAAUGAGGCUAAGUGAUUUGCUGAAGCUGUGGGGUGUAAAAAUACAUCGGUAGGGGAGCGUUCUGCCUUAGAGGAAAGCCUCCACAUGAGCGGUGGUGGGCGAAGCAGAAGCAAGAAUGUCGGCUUGAGUAACACAAUAUUGGUGAGAAUCUAAUGCCCUAAAAACCUAAGGGUUCCUCCACAAGGUUCUUCCAUAGAGGUUGAGUCAGGGCCUAAGAUCAGGCCAAAAGGUGUAGUCGAUGGACAACAAGUGUAUUCCUGUACUACCCCUUGUUGGUCCAGAGGGACGGAGGAGACUAGGUUAGCCGAAAGAUGGUUAUCAGUUCAAGAAUAUAAGGUGUCCCUGUAUUUUUUCAAUGUAAGAAGGGGUAGAUAAAAUGCCUCGAGCCAAUGUUCGAAUACCAGGCGCUACGAUGCUGAAGUAACCUGUGCCAUACUCCCAGGAAAAACUUAAAUGACAUUGAGCAAAAGGGUACCUAUACCCGAAAUUGACAAAGGUGGGUAGGUAGAGAAUACCUAGGGGUGCGAGACAAUUCUCUCUAAGGAACUUGGAAAAUAAGCCCCAUAACUUCGGGAGAAGGGGGGCCUCUUUACAUCACAAAGGGGGUGGAAAUGACUAGGCUCGGACGACUAUUUACCAAAAACAUAGGUCUCUAUAAAGUCGUAAGACCAUGUAUGGGGGAUGACGCCUGCCCAGUGCUGAAAGGUCAAGAAAGUUGGUGACCUGAUAACAGGAGAGCCAGCGAUCGUAGCCCCGGUGAAUGGUGACCAUAACAAUAAUGGUCGUAAGGUAGAAAAUUUUUUUGUCGGGUAAGUUCAGACCUAUACGAAAGGCUUAAUGAUUUGGGCACUGUCUCGGAGAGAGGCUCGNNNNNNNNNNNNNNNNUAAUGAUCUGGGCACUGUCUCGGAGAGAGGCUCGGUGAAAUAGACAUAUCUGUGAGAUGCGGACUACCUGCACCUGGAUAAAAAGACGCUAUGAAGCUUCACUGUUCCCUGGGAUUGGCUUUGGGCCUUUCCUACUCAGCUUACGUAGAAGGAAAAGAAGGCCUCCUUCCUAGGAAGAGGGGGGUGAGCCAUCAGUGAGAUACCAUUCUGGUAGGGCUAGAAUUCUAACAUUAUGUCAGGACCUACGGGCCAAGGGAUAGUCUCAGGUAGAUAGUUUCUAUAGGGUAUAGGCCUCCUAAAAGGUAACAGAGGCAUCCAAAGGUUUUCUCAGGCCAGACAGAGAUUGGCCCUCGAGUGCAAAGGUAGAAGGGAGCUUGACUGCAAGACCCACCCAUAGAGUAGGGACAAAAGUCAGCCUUAGUAAUCUGAUAGUACCAAGUGGAAGGGUCGUUGCUCAACGGAUAAAAUUUAAUCUAGGGAUAACAGGUUGACAUUCCCCAAGAGCUCACAUUGAUGGGAAGGUUUGGCAUCUCAAUGUCGGCUCUUCGCCACCUGGGGCUGUAGUAUGUUCCAAUGGUUGGGCUGUUCGCUCAUUAAAGCGGUACAUGAGCUAGGUUUAGAACGUUGUGAGAUAGUUCGGUCCAUAUCUGGUGUGGGUGUAGAGCAUUGAGAGGACCUUUCCCUAGUAAGAGAGGACUAUAAAGGACGCACCUCUGGUGUACCAGUUAUCGUUCCCACGGUAAACGCUGGGUAGCCAAGUGUGGAGCGGAUAACUACUAAAAGCAUCUUAGUAGUAAACCUACCCCAAGAUGAGUGCUCUCUUAUUCUGACUUUCCCAGAGCUUUCGGUAGCACAGCCGAGACAGCGAUGGGUUCUCUGCCCCUAUGGGGAUACAGCGACAAAAGAUUUUUGAGAAUUCAAGAAAAGGUCAUGGCAAGAUGGGCCAUUUAUUAUUAUGAUAGGUGUUAAGUGGAAGUAUAAUGAUGUAAGCAGCUGAGGCAUCCUAACAGACCGGUAGACUUGAAC
rnacentral:rRNA from 1 species